rnacentral:rRNA from 1 species
GAUGAACGCUAGCGGCAGGCCUAACACAUGCAAGUCGAGGGGGAAGUUACUUUCGGGUGACUGAGACCGGCGUACGGGUGCGUAACGCGUAUACAAUCUGCCUUUCACUGGGGGAUAGCCCGAAGAAAUUUGGAUUAAUACCCCAUAGUAUAUAGGGACGGCAUCGUUUUUAUAUUAAAGCUUAGGUGGUGAAAGAUGAGUAUGCGUUCUAUUAGCUAGUUGGAGAGGUAACGGCUCCCCAAGGCGAUGAUAGAUAGGGGUUCUGAGAGGGAUGUCCCCCACACUGGUACUGAGAUACGGACCAGACUCCUACGGGAGGCAGCAGUGAGGAAUAGUGGACAAUGGUCGGAAGACUGAUCCAGCCAUGCCGCGUGCAGGAUGAAGGUCUUAUGGAUUGUAAACUGCUUUUGUAAGGGAAGAAUAAGGGCUACGCGUAGUUUGAUGACGGUACCUUACGAAUAAGCAGCGGCUAACUCCGUG